AUGGUGCUUUUGAGCGCGGCAACGCGACGGUGGACCUCACCUACAGCCGGAAGUACAACCACGACCUGUACCGCGUCUUCACGUUUAUUCAAAUGCUGUCGGGAAAGAAGGAAACAAACAAAAAAGCAGGAGAGAGAGUUGCGCUCGUUUUUUUUUCGCAAGCUAGCCGCUUUUGUUGCUGCCCACGGAGCCCCCCGCGAUGCUAACCACAGGAAACGCACAGCCCGAGCGAGGAGCCGGCGGGACGUUGAGGUGAUGAUAACCGGGAUAACAAGGGAGACGAUCGGCGCCAUGAAGCGCCCCACACCGGAGGUACAGUGGAUCCACAGCCAUAAAUCAAGUAAAUAGGAGGAUGUGUUUCAGACUCACCGUAAGCAGAGGAAGCAUGGAUCCAGCGGAGCAUACACACACAAACACAGAUGAAUAGAAAGGCAUUAAGUAACUGGAGUUGGACAUUGCUUUAAACCCAGGGCCUUUCUUCACACACCUUCUUAGUAAAAUAACUCAAAGAUAAGUAACAAGGGAUUAUAAUACCAUUUCAUGCAGUAACAUUACAUUCAUACAUUUGAUUCUACUGCAUUUUACUCCUUCCGUGGUCCCUACAUUAUGAUGAUAGUGGGAAAAAUAACAAUAGUUUUUUUUACCAGUGACAGCAUUCAUCCAAUUUUCUCAUCAGUGAAAGUGACACAGCUAAUUCCCGUUCACCCCUGACUGCUGAUCAUCCAAGACAGUCAUGAGUUGGAAAAAAACAACAACACAGCAGUUCUCGUCUCUGGCGUGACAGGAAAGAGUCUUGUAUUAAUCUAAUUCUUUCUAUCUUUCUACAUGUUAGCAGAGUGAAGGGAAAAAGACCCACACCGUGACAUUUGAUCACACAAAUAAUACAGAGCUGAGUGAAUCAAAGUGACCUCUGCCCAAAGUCAUUGACUCCUUUGUCUCACCAGAUCUUAAAUACAAUUGCAACCCGCUGAGGAGGAUGAACCCAGAAGAGCUUGACAAUUCAUCAGCUUACACCAUAUUCAAAACAAUAAAGGAGGAUGUUACCUCUCUAAAUCUGACAAAAAUCCCUCACGAGUGGGGACAAUCGGAUCGACCUUUUUCAAAAGCAGAAGUUAAAAAAGCAAAAGUGUAGACUGCAAAAGUAAAGUCUGCUCCACACACACAGGAAUUGACAGGCAUUAUGUUGAUACUUACACAUAUCUGCAUAACUAAUUGUAGAGUAAUGAACGCUAAAGCAAACGUAGGGCUCUGCUGUUAGCUACACCUCCAUGUUUUUCUACAGCUCUAAUUACAAACAGAAGGAAAAAUGUACCUGGUUAUCAAAGGUCCCAUAUUGCGGAAACACACUUGAGAUUAAGUCAAUCGGAAGUCUUGACUCUGCACCUAAUCAGCCUGAUCUGACAUUCUCUCUCUCUCUCUCUCUCUCUCUCUCUCUCUCUCUCCUGGCUCCUCUCUUCUGGCUCCUCUCUUCUCUGCAAUGUCUCUCCACCUCCUUGCCACGAUGAUGACUGCCUACGCUCAAAGCGUGGAUCCGAUCAAUCGGGCUACCGGUGUCAAAAACUGUGUCCUACAGCCAGUGAGCUGCACAAGACUAUAGCUGUUCAGUUUCCUAUGUAGCCACGAGAUCAGGGCAGUGCAGAUUCUGUGGAGGAUUAUCAGCGAGUCCUUCCAAGGGGAAUUACCCUGACACGGCCAUCUGGACAGCAAGACAUUACCCACUGGGCAAACUAUUGUCCAGCAAACUCUGUGCGCCCUGAUCUGAGGAACGGUCAGUCGUCAGUCAACCCUGAAACCCUGGUAUAAUAAAAGUAAACUAUGGCCAAGGCAACAAGUUACCUUGAUUCAACUAUCUAUAAACCCAUCAGAACAAUUCAGUAGAUAGAUAGUAAAAUAAUUAAUAAAUUAAGUCCUUGUAAGUUUCCUCUGCCAACGAAAGUGGUGAUAGUUAUAUUGAUGUUAAAUAUGUAUAUAUCAAUCAAGAGACUGAUUAUUAAGUUAAAAGAUGUGACUAGAAUAUUAAUAGUAAUCACAUUCAGUCUUACAUUUAUGAUACUCAGCAUGUUAAGUUUUUAUAAUUAUGAAAGAUAAAUGAUUAGAACAAAAGAGAAUUAGCUCACACAACUGAUUUGAGUUGGCCUCAAAAUGUAAAAAUCUAGAGCAGUAUGUUGCCUUGGAAUAUUUUGGUUUUCCAAAAGUGAGUAGUCAUCAAAAUAGACAGAGAGUUGCCCACAGUUUGUGUACUGUAGAUAUAUACACACAUAAAUGAAUACGCCCACGCCCUAAAGAUAUGAACAAGCUUUUACCUCGCACUAAAAACAAGAACACACAACAUAAAGCACACUUGUGACACACACACCGAGCUGCAAUUUACCUGACGACCAGUCGAUUAACCAGCUGGAACCAUCUCUCUUGGUCGGACUGAGUAUUCCCCCCGGAGUUUCCCUCUUCACGGGACAAACAAAUACCAAGAAAAAGCACAAGUACAUAUCUCCCAGUUCACAUCUGUUUGUUUAAUAUGUCAACCACCUGCUCUCCGGCUCCCUCCCCACACUUCUUUGUGUGUGUGUGUGUGUGUGUGUGUGUGUGUGUGUGUGUGUGUGUGUGUGUGUGUGUGUGUGUGUGUGUGUGUGUGUGUGUGUGUGUGUGUGUGUGUGUGUAUAAAUGAACAACAGUGGAUAUUUAGAAAGAUAAAGAGAACAAGAUAUUGGGAGGAGAGUAGAAAUAGUGAGGGGAGCUCUGUGCAGGGUGCAUCCAUCGGUGACAUCAUUUUCACUGGCAAUAAAGUGGACGGGAUGAUUACAUGUUGUCACUGUGCAUGUGCAUGAAUAACUAAUAUUUAAUUCAAGAUUUCAGCUGCGUAUGUGUGUGUGUGUGUGUGUGUGUGCACGUGUGAGUACGGCAAAUGUAAGGCGCCUCAUUCUCAUAUGUGCUGACCAUAUACAUUUUCCCCCCCUUUUAUAAGUUGAAAUAACUUAAUAAUACAAAACACCAGUCUAGAGUUAAAGAACAUUUGUGGUGAUGCUUCACUGCCAUCGUUUGGUGCAUUAUUACUGAGAGACCACUAGAGAGCAGCAGUUCCUCUUUGCAUCACCAGAGGCUCAUCUGAAAAACUUCAGCUUCAUUUUAGUUUGGACAAGUAAGAUAAAGAGAAAAAAAAGGUUUUAUAUUGAAAACAUAGUGAUGUAAGCUUGACUAUCUGUAUUUAAAAGAAAAACAUUUUCAAUGGAUUUGUCUGUGAGAGGCCCCGUUCUGCUUACACGGUAGCUGAUUAUGAAAGCACUGUAUGACACCCUGACAAAUGUAAUUUUUCACCAGUUGUCCCUGUUAUGAAAAUACAUUUGUAGAAUGUUCAAGUAUUUUUUAUUAAUGUAGACGUAAUUGGAUAUAUGAUGUCAUUACUGUAGCAGCGAAUAAGUGGUUUGACACUCUAAAGGCUAUUUAUAUUUAUAUUAUUUAUUUCAGCUUUCAACUGGAAGAUAUUUCCAAUAAUAGUUUCCAUUGGUUUUAUUCCAAAUUAUUUUAGAAGUUGAGGAGGGACUUCAUACAUUUUCCCUACAGCCACCUGUCAUCCGGACUAUUCCUCUACAAAUCACAGACAAACUUGACAUGAGUGUUUCCUGUCUCAAGUGGAAACAUUGGAGAAAAAUAAAUAUUAUCCUCCGGUAUCCAUGGUUACACGCUGAUCCUUCGCUGCAACUUCCACAAUCAGGACCGACUCUGAGGUUUUAAUAUCUACUGGAUAGUCUUGCGCAGAGGUUCCCUGACCACUGACCCUGACUGGGGUCUCUCACAGACAGCAGGCAACCUUCAGCUGGUAUUCAGAUGUAUCAAAACAAUUUAAUUUAGGAUAUUGCUGAGCAUAUAGCUGAGGAUUUUUUCGAAAGAUCAUGGUUUUCCAGUAGAUUACAUCUUCGUUGAAUAAAUAUCCACUUGGGUGUCCCCAUCAGAAACUCUGUUUCAAAAAACAAUAUUGUUGUCUGUGCACUGAAAAAAAGCAAAUUGCUUACCAACUUGCAUGGAAGUUAAUAUCUUGGAACAGAUUGAACCUGAGGUAUUUUGGCCCACAGGGAAGUUUCUCACUUUGCUGAGUUGAUUGUAGUUGAAUUUAAAAUUAUGUAGAAUUGAAAAUUAUGUAGAAUUGAAAAUAUAUGUAUAUUUUGUAUAUAUAUAUAUAAUGUCUAAUGGUAUAUAUAAUGUACAAGCUAUACAUCGUAAGUUCACGAACAGUUUGUAAGUAUACUGAAAGUGUAACGUUUCAUCUACUUCAUACAUCACACAAUUUUAGAGUGAAAGUGUGGCACCCAGUUGAGUGCAUACCUUGCUCAAGGACCAACAGUCCUCUUAGAUUCAAUCAAAUCACAACAAAUUGAAUGGGUUCUUCAUGUGGAAGAAGUUUGUACAUUAUAUCCAUUUCACAUGUACAUGUACAUUGUUAUCAUAUUUAUUAAACAAUUAAACAAUUUACACCGUUGGUACUGCACGUGCGUGAACUCGCGUGCGCAGCCGUCCCACUUUUAUUCUAGAGAGAGAGAGAGAGAGAGAGAGAGAGAGAGAGAGAGAGAGAGAGAGAGAGAGAGAGAGAGAGAGAGAGAGAGAGAGAGAGAGAGAGAGAGAGAGAGAGAGAGAGAGAGAGAGAGAGAGAGAGAGAGAGAGAGAGAGAGAGAGAGAGA
ensembl:lncRNA